CAUGAGCCUGUGAUGAGGCCAAAGUGAACCCGUGCAGAGCGCCCUCCCUGCCACCAAGGCCACCUGGAGAGCCAGCAGAGUAGACCCCUGUGACUGGAGAGGGGGCAGAGUGACACCCCCAGAGCAGCCUGCCUGACCUCCACAGGCUGUGUCUGGAACAGCAGUAGGCCCACUGGAACCUCCACCGACAUGGUUGAGGAUAAUCUACUCACUGAGGAGUUACGGCAGCCUGCAAAGCCCUUUCCCGGGACGCUCCAUGCCUGCACCGAUUUCUAUGCCAGUCAGUGUUCUUAGCUGCAAACAACGGAACCAGCUCUCGUGUUGUGCAGAAAAGGGAUCUACGGCAGCUCACAGGCUGCCUGGGAAGGGUAGACAGCCAGGCUGCGGACUGAGCAAGAGGCAGGGAAGGCAGAUCAGCAUGGAUCCAGAGCGUGGGAAAAUAGACUCCACGUCCUGAUGGGAGGAGCUGCCAUUUGAAAUGGGCUGUAGCCAGGAGGCUGAGGACAGCUGGACUCAGAUAGAUUGGAAGUGAAGCCACCAACACCCCUGCCAUGGACGUGUCGUUGUCCAUGGGCCACGCCUUCCCCAUGCUGCUGCUGCUGUUUUACCGCCCCUAGCGAGCAUUCUGAACCGUUCCUGCCUCGCUGAGCCCUGUGCUGCAGGCUCGAGGCCCUGAGAGGUCGUCGGAGAGCAGCAACCGGGGCUUUAGGCUCUCACGGGCCAGGUUUCCCAAGCGCAGGAAGGAGGUUCAGAUACACUGAGGAAUAAAUACCCUACGGGCCCUCCAUAGAGGGGACUAUUACACAGCCAUUCAAAAGGACUUUGUG
rnacentral:lncRNA from 1 species